GGAGCAAGAGAGAGAGAAAGGGAGAGGGAGAGACUUUGCACUUUGCAGGCGAAGUACCUAUAUACGCGAACGCGAGUAAAAAAGAAAUCAAAGCGAGCAGUGUGUUACUGCUGACGACGGCUGUUUUCGACUUGGCGCAAUGAGAUUGCGCGACAGGAGAUAGGUGUGCUGAUAUUUCGUGUGCUCACUGCUCUCCGCUCCGAAUGAUCCAAGUGAGCCUGCUCGGACACCCAUGUUUAUCAAGAGCCAAAUAGUGAAAAAGCCAAGGCGCAGGACACUGAUAGACGGGUGGACAAUGCAGAAGCUGCUGCUGACGAUACAGCUGUAAUUCGUGUACAGGGCGUUCGCUCAUCGCUGCGAUGUUUACGAGGACGACGACGAGUAGGAGGUGGAGCCAUCGCCUUUUGUAAGGCGAUUGUCCCGAUAAAUAUUACGUGCAUAGGAGCUUCGGGCCUCUAAUUCUGGGCGGCACCUCGCGGGCCUUCGACGAUAGUAUAUUAUAAGUAGUCAGCAAGUGCUAUAUGUAUAUAUAUAAUUUUAUAUAUAUAUAUAUAUAUAUAUAGGUGUGUACAUAAUGCGUAAAUAAUGCAACCACACUGUAACAACUGACACGUCCAGCAGAAAAAAACGCUUCGUUCAAAUGUAUGCCUUGACUAGUUGCGAGCAGUCCUUUUAUGUAAAUUCAUCAGAGACAAGUUUCCUGUUGAGAAUGAAGAAACGCCUGAGCAAGACUACAGUGUGAGGAAUAAACGAAUCUCUUUCUUCUGUUCCUGCUCUAAACACGUUGAAAUAGAAUAAAUAAUCUUUCAAGUUUUAGUAGAAAUGGCGGAAAUCAAAAUGGAUCAAGAGACGGUAUAUGGCACACAUGAGGACAGUCAUGUUGUCAUGUCGGAAAAAGUACAAUCUUUGGCUGGUAGUAUUUAUCAGGAAUUUGAGAGGAUGAUUGCCAGAUAUGAUGAAGAUGUGGUUAAGGAACUUAUGCCAUUACUAGUCAAUGUGCUAGAGUGCCUAGAUAUUGCAUACACGCAAAAUCAAGAGCACGAAGUAGAGCUGGAGCUACUUAGGGAGGAUAAUGAGCAGCUUGUCACUCAAUAUGAAAGAGAGAAACAACUUCGAAAAACAUCGGAUCAAAAAUUGCUAGAACUAGAGGAUGCUGCAGAAGAUGAACGCAAAGAAUUAGUUUCAAAAAUUGAUAGCCUGGAAUCUAUUGUUAGGAUGUUGGAACUCAAAACCAAGAAUUCUCACGACCACGGUACAAAUGUCAAUGUCAACUCCAGUCAAAGAAAAACCCCUCACAUUGUUCGUUUGGAGGAAAAAGAAUCGGAGUUGAAACGUGAAUAUUCCCGGUUACAUGAUCGGUAUACGGAAUUAUUCAAAACUCAUGUUGAUUAUAUGGAAAGAACGAAGAUGCUCGUCGGUAGCACAGAAAGAUUAGAAAAUUCAACGGCUAAUAACCGAGGUCCCGGUCGUUUACCACCACUCGGAAUGGCACAUAUGUCACGAAGUUCAGGCCCUCUUAGUUACGGAUUCCAAAGUUUAGAAGCUAGCAUGAUUGAAGGAGAUAUUCAAGAGGAAAGUCCACCUGAUGCAGCAAGUUUGAGAACAGAAAUGUUAGACAGCAGCAGUGAAGCGACUGUAGAAACGUCCGAUAAGAGUCAGCUAACAGAUCAACCAGUUCAAGAAAACAAAACUACAGAUAUUUCCAGACAUGUGAGUCCAGAAACGGAAACAGCACCGCCUAUAAUUACACCGACAUCACCACGAGUAGAAAAAUUAGCUACAACUCCUGGAGGAAGAAGUCGAACGGAUAGAGAAGAACGCCGUAGUGCUAACACUUUAUAUCAAGAAAUCAGUUUUCAAGAUGCCGACGCUUUAGGAGAAAUGGAUGAGGGAGCUGAUAUUACAGGAAGCUGGGUUCAUCCAGGGGAAUACGCUUCGUCAGUUAACGACAACUUCUUUGGCAUGGGCAAGGAGGUUGAAAACUUGAUCAUGGAAAAUAAUGAACUUUUGGCAACAAAGAACGCCUUGAAUAUCGUAAAGGAUGAUUUGAUUGUAAAAGUUGAUGAAUUGACUGGGGAACAAGAGGUACUUAGAGAAGAAAUACGCGGUCUGCACCAAGCAAGAGAUCGUCUUCGACAGCGAGUUUUAGCUUUGGAAGAGGAACUGAAGAAAGUAAAAGAAGAAGCUGAAACUGCAGCGAAAGCAACAAAGAGCGACGAUGAAGAGGAAGUCCCAUUAGCACAAAGAAAGAGGUUUACGAGAGCUGAGAUGGCGAGAGUACUAAUGGAGAGAAACCAAUAUAAAGAAAGAUUUAUGGAAUUACAAGAAGCCGUCCGAUGGACAGAAAUGAUACGUGCAAGCAAGACAGAUCCAUCUAGCAUAUCUGGUGGAAAGCAAACAUUUUGGAAAUUUUUUAGCAACCUCUUCACUGGUCCAGCGGACCGGGGACCUCUAGUACGCGGACCACACAUCCGAUACAGCGCUCCAGCCAAUCAAGUAGUUCCAGCUGCUCCUCUGGAUAUGAUGCGCAGGAGAACGCUUAAAAAUCGACAUGAUUUUCUUGACCAAGGAGACACCAUGUCAUCUGAGAAACUUGUGGCAAGGCGUGCAAAUGAAAGAAGAGAACAGUAUCGUCAGGUUAGAGCCCACGUCCGGAAAGAAGACGGACGGUUGCAAGCUUAUGGAUGGAGUUUGCCUGGUAAACCAAGUGCUCCGACCCGCCAACCAGUACCAGUACCUGUAUAUUGCAGACCUCUACAAGAAACCGAGCCCGGAAUGAAAAUUUGGUGCGGAGCUGGAGUCAACAUGAGUGGUGGAAAAACUCGCGACGGAGGUUCUAUGGUAGGAGGUAGUGUCUUUUAUGCAGCAGAGGCUCGAGAAAUAAACAACGACCUUAAGGCUGAGCCUGAAGAUGCCAUCGAACACUUAGAUAAGGAACUGCAAGAAAGUGAACAGAGAAGGCUCGAAGCCGAGAGGCAGGAGCAGCAAUUGACUUCGCACGUGUGGAUCUGCACGUCCACGCAGAAGAUGUCGAAAGUUACUGUGAUAGAUGCCAAUAAUCCAGCCGAGAUACUCGAAGUUUUUAACGUUUGUGAGAGCCAUUUACUGUGCAUCGCUAGUGUGCCUGGUGCUAAGGAGAGCGAUUACGGAGAUAUCAACGACUACGUACAGGUGGAUAAAGAAAUUGAUAAUCAAGCGGAGAUUGCCCUUUCGGACGAAAACCAAGCGGAAACUGGGGAACCAAAAAUUGUAGAAAUAACCAAAUCAGGUAAUACGUCUCCAGAAGAGAAAUCAGAGCAAACACGUGAGGUUGGUUCGGAUCCCAGUUUGGCGACAGAACCACCAAGCUUGGAAGUUGACGCUGAAACUGUCAAUCUAGGAAAAAUUCGCUUUGUGAAAACUCCUCCUGAAUCUAAUUCUCUGCCAGAAACUACAAAAGACGAUGACGAGAAAGCUGAUGAAGGCGACGCUCCAAUUGAAAAAAUGUCUUCUAUUCAACCGACCAUGUGGCUCGGAGCUCAAAAUGGAGCUGUGUUUGUUCACUCUGCUGUGGCCAAAUGGUCGGUGUGUUUACACACUGUUCAGCUACAAGAUGCUGCUCUUGCAAUUGUGCACAUUCAAGGCCGUGUAUUAGUCGCGUUAGCCGAUGGUACGGUUGCGAUUUUUAAAAGAGGAGUUGAUGGUCAGUGGGAUCUAUCCCAGUACCAUGUCAUCACAUUAGGAAGCCCACAACAUUCUAUUAGAUGUAUGAGUGUUGUACUAGGGAAAACUGUGUGGUGCGGUUACCGUAAUAAAAUUCACGUCAUUGAUCCUAUUUCGCUGUCACUCGAGAUUUUCCAUUGCAGUGCACCGUUGAUGCUCAUCCACGCCGAGAAUCACAAGUACGACAGCUGGCCUGGCUUGGCGAGGGCGUCUGGGUCAGCAUUCGGCUGGACUCGACAUUAAGACUGUAUCACGCUCAUACAUACCAACAUUUGCAAGAUGUUGAUAUAGAGCCUUACGUUAGUAAAAUGCUCGGCACUGGAAAAUUGGGCUUUUCCUUUGUACGAAUUACAGCACUGCUCAUAUCUUCUAACAGACUAUGGAUCGGUACCGGUAAUGGUGUCAUUAUCUCCGUUCCUCUAUCUGAAAGUGCAGGAGGUUCUAUGGCUGUGUCACGUGUUCAAACGGGAAGCGGUAAAGGCGAUGCUCCCGGAGUUGGUGUUCGAGUCUUCGCUUCCGACCAUGGCGUCACUCCAGGCAGUUUUGUUCCAUACUGCAGUAUGGCUCAUGCACAACUUAGUUUCCAUGGUCACAGAGAUGCAGUAAAAAUGUUUGUUGCCGUACCGGGUCACGGUGGUCAAAGUGCAGCUUCAGACAAUUCCCAACCAGCUAUGCUUGUUUUAUCUGGAGGAGAGGGAUACAUUGACUUCCGAGUUGCAGAUGAAGCUGAGGAUGAAAGUGACGUGGCUACACAUCUAAUUGUAUGGCAAUUAGUCAGGUGACGGUGAAGAUGCCGAGGAAGGAAUUGACAGAGCUACCGUACAGGCAGUGUCAAAUACAGAAGAACAAGGUGAACAGAGUCAUUUGAUAGUGUGGCAAGUGCAAUGUCCGAUGCCAGUGACAAAUGCCUAGUCUUGUUGAACGAACGAAUAGUUCCUUCAGGGGGUCAAUAGGAUACCUGGCCUAGCUUCGUCUAUUUAGCAACGACCCGUCGGCAUUGAAACAUUCAAGUUCGACUGAAAAGAACAGCACCACCAUUGGGUGACCAACCAAAUUGCCAAAUUUAAGAAGGCUUGUGCUUCAGGGGGAUUUUAAUACUACUAGCGUAUUUACAGUGACGAAAACGUUGUUGGCAAUUUGAUAACUCGACGAUUGUAGAAAAUUUAAUUAACUUGCAGUCUGUUAAAAAUUGCAAUUAUUAUUAUUAUUAUUAUUAUUCUUAUUAUUAUUAUUGUAUUUUUGCUGUACCCCCUUCACUUACGUCUGUUGAUGCGUAUUAAUUAAUCAAGUAUAUUUAAAAAAAAGUUUGCACGUUCAUGCGAUAAACUUUUCUGGAGGGUACAAAUUUUAGAAAUGAUUUUUGUGAAAUGUUAUAUUUCAUACUGACAUAUUAUAUUAAGUAAGUUUGUGCAUUGCUUAAAGCCACAUAUACUGCGCGAACGAACUUUGGCAGUAAUUUAUUUAUAUCUUACCAAUAUUAUGUGUACAUGUGUAAGGCUCCUUAUCAAUGAAAUAUACAAUACGCGCAUCAAGCUAAGAUUAGAUUAAGUCAUUGAAAAAAUGUAUGUCGGAUAUAUUUUUUUUUUAUUUAUUAACAAAAUCAAUAAUUAUUUCUAUCAACAAAUAACUUUGGUAUUGAAUCAGCAAACAAAUUUGUAGGAAAAUAUUACUUGGAUUUUGUAAAUAAUACAAUGUUGAUACGAGAAAAAGAUAUUUGUUGUGUUAUGCAGUCUUUAUUAAGAAACAAUGAAGGGAGCAUGCUUGCUUCCUUUUUUUCUUUCAAAAAAGACUGUUUUGAAUCUCCUACCAAAGAUGCAGGUCUAAUAUAAAAAUAUUCAUGUGGCGAAAUAGGAUUGUAUAAUAAACAUGCAAACAUUUUGGCUGCUAUUCAAACCGAUGUGUGCACAUCAAAUUAAUUUGAUUUCUAUGUGUCGAGCCAGAAAUUCUGUGUACUUGGCUCGAACAAAUGGUGACCGUAAAAAAUAAAAAAAAAAUUACUGAAUCACUA